AUGUUUAUUUUAAGGGGCAGUUUUCCUGCACAAUCCCUCUUCUUCUCUCAUCUGCUAAGAUGUGGGACAUCCCUUUCACCUUCUGCCAUGAUUGUGAGGUCUCCCCAACUACGUGGAACAACAGAGUUCCACUCCUGUUGCCCAGGCUGGAGUGCAAUGAAUGGCACGAUCUCGGCUCACUGCAACCACCACCUCCCGGAUUCAAGCGAUUUUCCUGCCUCAGAAUCUAGAGCUGGGAUUACAGGCACCCACCACCACACCCAGCUAAUUUUUUGUAUUUUUAAUACAGACACAGUUUCACCAUGUUGGCCAGGCUGGUCUUGAACUCCUGACAGCAGGUAAUCUGCGGGGGACAUCCCAAAGUGCUAGGAUUACAGAUGUUAGCUACCGUGCCCAGGUCAAUAUCAUUUAUUAAAAAGACCAUCCUUUCCUCGAUUUAUUGCAAUGUCACUGUAAUUAACCAGGACAUCAUAUAUGUGUAAGUCUGUUUAUGGAUUUUCUCUUCCAUUACACUGGCCAGUAUGUCUAUCAUUGUGUCAGUAUCACACUAUAUUAAUCACCAUAAAUUGAUAAUGAUUGUUGGUAUCUGUUAGUAUGCGUCCUCUAGCUUUUUCACUCUUCAGGAAUGCCUUAAUAAUUCUUGCCCAUUUACAUUUCCAUAUCCAUUUUAGAGUCAGCUUUUCAAUACACACACCCCUGCUGGGAUUUUGAUUAAGAUUGAUUGAAUCUGUUGAUUAGAUUUAGAGAAAUUGGCAUGUUUAUAGUAUUGAGUCUUCCAGUCCACAAAUACGGCAUAUUGUUCACUUUAUUUAGAUCUUUAAUUUCCUUCAAUAAUGUUUGUAGAUUAUAAUGUAGACAUUUUCACAAAUGUUGUUACAUUUAACUUCUAAGCACUUUGAUUCUUCC
rnacentral:lncRNA from 1 species